rnacentral:rRNA from 1 species
UACGUAGGGACCGAGCGUUGUCCGGAAUCAUUGGGCGUAAAGCGCGCGCAGGCGGUCCUUUAAGUCUGAUGUGAAAGCCCACGGCUCAACCGUGGAGGGUCAUUGGAAACUGGGGGACUUGAGUGCAGGAGAGAAGAGUGGAAUUCCACGUGUAGCGGUGAAAUGCGUAGAGAUGUGGAGGAACACCUAUGGCGAAGGCAGCUCUCUGGUACGAGACUGACGCUGAGACGCGAAAGCAUGGGGAGCGAACAGG